GGCUGAAAUACAGGAUUUGCUAUGAUAUAUUGUCAAAGUACGGUCUCAGCAGCUCCUCUCUGACCUUUUCUGACUACCUGCUGCUGUGAAAAUUGUCACUAAUGCUGAUAUUUUAAACAAAAUAUGGUUUUACUACAGGUUUGGUGAUUGCUACUGGUUACUACACCCUGUCACUGCUUCAGUCUACAGUAAAUCUGCCUGUUUUUCUUGCAGUUCAUGGGAAGCUGGUAUGAGCUGGCCGUGAUCUCUAACUGCCCUCACUACAUGCAACACAAGAGAGAAAACCCCAUCGUUGUUUCACAAUGACAGCAACUACCUUCAGGAAUGAUUCCUGGAAGGAGACAUCCACAGUUUACAAUCUGACCGACACUCCAGGACGAUUCUUCCACCAUUUUGCAAGUCGAAUCACAGACAUAAGUCCUGCUGCACUCGAUCUUUUUCAAGCUCUGGUCAGACAACAUGGGAAGAGUAAUGAUGCUGUCAUCAGGAAUCAGUUCAAAGGUACAAACACCCACUGACUGAGGACUAUGAUACUACUAGUGUGACGACCCUUCACCUGGACACCAGGUGUGUCUGUUCCAGUCCUCACCUGAUUGAGCCACACACACGAUCACGUGGCUCAGCUGCACUUCAUCUCGCCCACUUUCAUUCAAAUGGGCUCUCUGACAGGAGCAGCUGCCGUGUGGAGCUCCAGCAGCAUGUUUCUGGGUUUUGGUUUUGGUUUUUAAUGCCCAUUUGGUUGUUUUUGCAUGGCAAUAAACCUUUUUUUAGUCACCACA